UCCUUCGACGAGUCGAGUUGUUUGGGAAUGCAGCUCUAAAUUGGUGGUAAAUUCCAUCUAAAGCUAAAUACCGGCCAGAGACCGAUAGCGCACAAGUAGAGUGAUCGAAAGAUGAAAAGCACUUUGAAAAGAGAGUUAAAAAGUACGUGAAAUUGUUGAAAGGGAAGCGCUUGCGGCCAGACUUGCCCGCGGUUGCUCAGCCCGCCUUUUGGCGGGUGCACUCUUCCGCGGUCAGGCCAGCAUCGGUUUGGGCGGUCGGAUAAAGGCGUUGGGAACGUGGCCUCCUCUCGGGGAGGUGUUAUAGCCCGGCGCGCAAUGCGACCAGCCCGGACCGAGGUUCGCGCUUUGCUAGGAUGCUGGCGUAAUGGCCGUAAGCGGCCCGUCUUGAAACACGGACCAAGGAGUCUAACAUCUAUGCGAGUGUUUGGGUGUCAAACCCGUGCGCGUAAUGAAAGUGAACGGAGGUGGGAACCGCAAGGUGCACCAUCGACCGAUCCUGAUGUCUUCGGAAGGAUUUGAGUAAGAGCAUAGCUGUUGGGACCCGAAAGAUGGUGAACUAUGCGUGAAUAGGGUGAAGCCAGAGGAAACUCUGGUGGAGGCUCGCAGCGGUUCUGACGUGCAAAUCGAUCGUCAA
rnacentral:rRNA from 1 species